rnacentral:rRNA from 1 species
CCCAAGGACGAAGCCAUGCAUGCCCGCUCACCCGGGACGCGGCGGACGGCUCAGGACAACGGUUGCACCCCCCGCGGCGGUCCCUGCUAGCCGGACACCGCUGGCAACCCGGCGCCA